rnacentral:rRNA from 1 species
AUUGAACGCUGGCGGCAGGCCCAACACAUGCCAGUCGAGCGGAUGAAGGGAGCUUGCUCCUGGAUUCAGCGGCGGACGGGUGAGUAAUGCCUAGGAAUCUGCCUGGUAGUGGGGGAUAACGUCCGGAAACGGGCGCUAAUACCGCAUACGUCCUGAGGGAGAAAGUGGGGGAUCUUCGGACCUCACGCUAUCAGAUGAGCCUAGGUCGGAUUAGCUAGUUGGUGGGGUAAAGGCCUACCAAGGCGACGAUCCGUAACUGGUCUGAGAGGAUGAUCAGUCACACUGGAACUGAGACACGGUCCAGACUCCUACGGUAGGCAGCAGUGGGGAAUAUUGGACAAUGGGCGAAAGCCUGAUCCAGCCAUGCCGCGUGUGUGAAGAAGGUCUUCGGAUUGUAAAGCACUUUAAGUUGGGAGGAAGGGCAGUAAGUUAAUACCUUGCUGUUUUGACGUUACCAACAGAAUAAGCACCGGCUAACUUCGUG